rnacentral:rRNA from 1 species
AGAGUUUGAUUCUGGCUCAGAUUGAACGCUGGCGGCGUGCUUAACACAUGCAAGUCGAACGUGAAAGUCCUUCGGGACGAGUAAAGUGGCGCACGGGUGAGUAACGCGUGGAUAAUCUACCCUUAAGAUGGGGAUAACGGCUGGAAACGGUCGCUAAUACCGAAUACGCUCCCGAUUUUAUCGUUGGGGGGAAAGAUGGCCUCUGCUUGCAAGCUAUCGCUUAAGGAUGAGUCCGCGUCCCAUUAGCUAGUUGGCGGGGUAACGGCCCACCAAGGCAACGAUGGGUAGCCGGUCUGAGAGGAUGACCGGCCACACUGGAACUGGAACACGGUCCAGACUCCUACGGGAGGCAGCAGUGGGGAAUAUUGCGCAAUGGGCGAAAGCCUGACGCAGCGACGCCGCGUGAGGGAUGAAGGUUCUCGGAUCGUAAACCUCUGUCAGGGGGGAAGAAACCCCCUCGUGUGAAUAAUGCGAGGGCUUGACGGUACCCCCAAAGGAAGCACCGGCUAACUCCGUGCCAGCAGCCGCGGUAAUACGUAGGGUGCAAGCGUUAAUCGGAAUUACUGGGCGUAAAGCGCACGUAGGCGGCUUGGUAAGUCAGGGGUGAAAUCCCACAGCCCAACUGUGGAACUGCCUUUGAUACUGCCAGGCUUGAGUACCGGAGAGGGUGGCGGAAUUCCAGGUGUAGGAGUGAAAUCCGUAGAUAUCUGGAGGAACACCGGUGGCGAAGGCGGCCACCUGGACGGUAACUGACGCUGAGGCGCGAAAGCGUGGGUAGCAAACAGGAUUAGAUACCCUGGUAGUCCACGCUGUAAACGAUGGGUGCUGGGUGCUGGGAUGUAUGUCUCGGUGCCGUAGCUAACGCGAUAAGCACCCCGCCUGGGGAGUACGGUCGCAAGGCUG